rnacentral:rRNA from 1 species
GGAUGCGAUCAUACCAGCACUAAACUGGAUCCCAUCAGAACUUCGCAGUCAAGCGUGCUUGGGCAAGAGUAGUACUAGGAUGGGUGACCUCCCGGGAAGUCCUCGUGUUGUAUCCC